rnacentral:lncRNA from 1 species
UGUGCCAUGGAGCUGGAUUCGAAGCAGAAAAUCUCGGCUGACUGGGCUCCUUGGGCUGCAAAGACAAAGCAAAACUCAGUGAUUUUUGAAAACCACGGAGGCGGAGGCACUGCCCAGCCUUGCCCAAGAUGUAUUGCCGGAGAAUCUGGACACUUAAAUCACAUCCUGGGCUUAUAGGAACGGGGAGACGGCGGAUCGCAGCGCUGCGCUUCUGCUUCAGUUCUGGACAUGGGCCGGUGAACCCCGUACAGCUGGACGUCUGGACGUGGCGUGCGCUGCGCUUGUGUGUGGAGCUCAGCUGUAUGUGUUGCUCUUUCACUGCACAAUUAGGAAUAUUGCUGUUUUUACACGUGAAAAAAUGCUUCUGCUUUUGAGGUGGCUCAGUAUAUGUUUAAAACAACCUGCUGUAACGUUUUAGAGUAGUUGGGUAGAUCUGGCCUCUGGCCCAGCCUUCACCUGGGACUGGCCAUGUUGAUACACGAGAUUUUCCUGUCUCUCCUGGCUGCUUUCUCUGAUCCUUUUGGCAAGUGGUCCUUGCAUUUCGUGGGUGCGGGGCCUGCAGCUGUAGCUCAGCCCUUUAUUCGCAGGCAGGAAUGGGAAGACAGGAGUGUCUUCAUUUUUAGGUGGCUGUUCAGCUGUGAAAAUUCAGCCAGUAAAAAUCCUAUUGAAAGUUAUGUUUAAAUCCAAAAUAUACAGCCAAUUGGGGCAUCUCGCACUGUAGACUUCUAGUUGGUGAAUGUGGCGGGUGACUAUCUAAUAGAAAAAGCAGUAUUAUUGGAGCAACCCUCCUUAAAGCGAAGAUGACCAGUAGUUCAGCUCCGUGAAAUCCUCACACAGUUGUUAAGAUACCAUCUGACACUCCCUCUCUUUCCAGUUAUUGCAGUAUUAGAACAAAUCUGUUGACAAAGUCUUAAGCUUGUCGUCCACCACGUCACAACAGGCUCUUCUACACUUUCCCCUUAUAUAGCGCUAUAGAAUUUUUAAAUACAUUUGGAUUUUUAGACUCCAAGAUAGCAGAGUUGUGCUGCAGACUACACAACCUUAAGACAAAGGUUUUUCAACAGUCAAUGCUUCCUAUAUUGUGUGUAGAGUUGUAGAUAGUACUGAGCUGACUGUUAUUAAAGAGGAAUUCUUCCUAAAUAUACCAGUGUCAUGUAACUACUGAAUUCAGUUAAGUAAUAGAUGUGGAAAUAGUCGGUAAAGCAGAGCUGCACUAAGUUGCCAUGCAGACUGUUUGGUUAGGAAAGAAUGUUUCCUCCAAGCCAAUAAAAAUCUUCGUUACCUCAAAAAUAAAGAUUUUCAAAGUGCAGAAUUUUCUCAGACACUUCAGAUUUUGUUCAAUCAUGAGAACAGUGCAACUGGUUAAAAGAUCAAAGCCCCAAGAAACACAGUGGGGUUAAGAAUUGUAUUGUCCCUGUUACCUUGAAGAUCCAAAACUCAUCUUGAAUCCUCUCGCUCCCAAUACGGGUUGAUGCCAGCAAUGGUAUCUGGAGAAAAAACACCAAAAACACAACUAGAAAGGAACGGGGGUUCACUUGAAAUGACAGUUCCAUGAGCAAGUUCCUGUGUGCUGAUGGAGUUUAUCAGUUAGUGGAAAAUAAUAAUGCACAAUGUUUCUAAAGACUGAAAUUAUUUGUUACCAAGAUAACUGGAUUGUGUUGCAGGCAAUUCAUUUUUACAUUUUCCAACCCUUGUUUUUUAAAAAUGCUGGUAAUGAUAUAAUAGCAGCCAAAAGAAGACGGCUGAGCAUCAGUUGCUGGGCCGUCGGAGCUGAAAUAGCUGCUAAAGGUAAAAGGCUAAAAGUUUCAUUACUGCAAAAUGGCUCAAAACCUGUUAUGCUUCCUCAAGUAGUGAUGCACACAACGGUUUCGCAUCAAAAUCCAGGGUAUCUAAAGAGGGGAAUGUCAAAAGGAGACUUGGACUCCAUGGUGGAAGAGUUUUGUGCUAGAACAUACUAGAGCAGAGCAGCAUGGCAUUGUCUUGAAAACACCAGGGUACGUCCGUGGAUUA